AGCCAUGCCGCGUGUCUGAAGAAGGCCUUCGGGUUGUAAAGGACUUUUGUCAGGGAGCAAAACUUACUGGUUAAUACCUGGUGAGGUUGAGAGUACCUGAAGAAUAAGCACCGGCUAACUACGUGCCAGCAGCCGCGGUAAUACGUAGGGUGCAAGCGUUAAUCGGAAUUACUGGGCGUAAAGCGUGCGCAGGCGGACUUUUAAGCCAGAUGUGAAAGCCCCGAGCUUAACUUGGGAAUUGCGUUUGGAACUGGGAGUCUAGAGUCUGUCAGAGGGGGAUGGAAUUCCACGUGUAGCAGUGAAAUGCGUAGAGAUGUGGAGGAACACCGAUGGCGAAGGCAGUCCCCUGGGAUAAGACUGACGCUCAUGCACGAAAGCGUGGGGAGCAAACAGGAUUAGAUACCCUGGUAGUCCACGCCCUAAACGAUGUCUACUAGUUGUUGGGGUAGCAAUACCUCAGUGACGCAGCUAACGCGUGAAGUAGACCGCCUGGGGAGUACGGU
rnacentral:rRNA from 1 species